rnacentral:rRNA from 1 species
GGCUCAGAGUGAACGCUGGCGGCGUGCUUAACACAUGCNAGUCGAACGGGGAAAGAGAGGUUCGCCUUUCUUUCUUAGUGGCGCACGGGUGAGUAAUGUAUAGCUAACCUGCCCCUUGGAGGGGAACAACAGUUGGAAACGACUGCUAAUACCCCAUACUCCUUCUUACUCUAAGGUAAGUCGGGAAAACUCCGGUGCCAAGGGAUGGGGCUGUAUCCUAUCAGCUUGUUGGUGAGGUAAUGGCUCACCAAGGCAAUGACGGGUAGCUGGUCUGAGAGGAUGAUCAGCCACACUGGAACUGAGACACGGUCCAGACUCCUACGGGAGGCAGCAGUGGGGAAUAUUGCACAAUGGGGGAAACCCUGAUGCAGCAACGCCGCGUGGAGGAUGACGCAUUUCGGUGUGUAAACUCCUUUUAUAAGGGAAGAUAAUGACGGUACCUUAUGAAUAAGCACCGGCUAACUCCGUG